AGGCUGGGUGUGUAAGCGUUGUGAGGCGUUGAGCUAACCAGUACUAAUUGCCCGUGAGGCUUGACCAUAUAACACCCAAACA
rnacentral:rRNA from 1 species